rnacentral:lncRNA from 1 species
AUUCCCGCACAUGCACCGUGGACCAUACUCCCACUCCAACAAUUCACGCAUGGCCCACCUCAACUCCAAAGCUUGACAUUCCCGCCAGUCACUUCGCAUGGGCCCGCGCUUCACCGUUCAGCGCAACAUGGACCAAUUCACCAUGGACCAAAGCAAGGCUCAACUCACGCACGCAUGGGCAGAGACCAAACACUCCACCAAUUCAUGCGGAC